GCUAGUUUUAGCCAAUGAGCACCAGCAUUAGCGAAAGAGUGCUGAGUGUUUUGUGUAUUGUAUUUGUCACUCUGUUUUUGUAACUGCCUGUCCAUUUUUGUCACGCAUGAUGUGGUUGUGCUUUUCUUUUGUGAUGUAAUUUGUCCAUCUGGGCCACCGUACACCAGUGCUUCCACCAGACAGUUUUGUUUGUUUUCACCGCUGACCUCGUCGUUCAUCAGCCAGUGAAGCUACUAUCAGUUAUUUCCUGCCGCAUGUGACGCCUGUGUUACGCUAAUGCUAGCAGAAGCACGCAUUCUCUGGACUUCCUUCCCAGGCGACUUCCCACUUCUUGACGGCUGCGCUCCACACCUGCAGAGGAGCCACAUCCAGAAUUGAUUACAGUGACAUUUACUAUUCAUAGGAACGUUACUGGGGUAACACGAGCUUUGCUGUUUAAGUGGAACAUUAGGAUUGAACAAACGCUCAUCUGGCAAACUUGUUUUAACGCGAUGAAUGUUGUUUACAUCGCUAGCUCGACUGCUUUCAGAAAACCCAGCGCCGCAGCAGCAGCUCUGCUCACUCAAAUGUAUGUGAACUUUCUGCAAACAAAUCCUGGCAUGGCAGCGUGCGGAGCAGCCAGGAGGACGGGAACAUGGAGGUGUGCGAGCGAGUGGGCGGUGAACUGAGAGGCCUCCGAGGAGACGGGGCUCCGUGUUGGCUGCAGUCCACCGAAAGGCAGCAGAACAAGCUAGAGAAGCAAGAGUGUGGUCUUCUUUAAGUCUUCCUUCCGCCCCUGAAAAACCAGCUUGUGACAUUUGAAGUAUAAUUGACAUUGGAGCUCCCCCCCCCGCCCGGUCCAUCUCCUG